CAGCAGCCACGGUAAUACAGAGGGUGCGAGCGUUAAUCGGAUUUACUGGGCGUAAAGCGUGCGUAGGCGGCUUCUUAAGUCGGAUGUGAAAUCCCUGAGCUUAACUUAGGAAUUGCAUUCGAUACUGGUUAGCUAGAGUGUGGGAGAGGAUGGUAGAAUUCCAGGUGUAGCGGUGAAAUGCGUAGAGAUCUGGAGGAAUACCGAUGGCGAAGGCAGCCAUCUGGCCUAACACUGACGCUGAGGUACGAAAGCAUGGGGAGCAAACAGGAUUAGAUACCCCUGUAGUCCCUGUCUCUUAUAC
rnacentral:rRNA from 1 species